UUCCAGACUCCUACGGGAGGCAGCAGUGAGGAAUAUUGGUCAAUGGGCGGGAGCCUGAACCAGCCAAGUCGCGUGAGGGAAGACGGUCCUACGGAUUGUAAACCUCUUUUGCCGGGGAGCAACGGGGUCCUUGCGAGGGCCCGAUGAGAGUACCCGGAGAAAAAGCAUCGGCUAACUCCGUGCCAGCAGCCGCGGUAAUACGGAGGAUGCGAGCGUUAUCCGGAUUUAUUGGGUUUAAAGGGUGCGUAGGCGGACUGGAAAGUCAGCGGUAAAAUCGAGAGGCUCAACCUCUUUCCGCCGUUGAAACUGUCGGUCUUGAGUGGGCGAGAGGUAUGCGGAAUGCGUGGUGUAGCGGUGAAAUGCAUAGAUAUCACGCAGAACUCCGAUUGCGAAGGCAGCAUACCGGCGCCCGACUGACGCUGAGGCACGAAAGCGUGGGUAUCGAACAGGAUUAGAUACCCGUGUA
rnacentral:rRNA from 1 species